rnacentral:rRNA from 1 species
GACGUAGGGCGCGAGCGUUGUCCGAUUUAUUGGGCGUAAAGAGCUCGUAGGCGGCUUGUCGCGUCAACUGUGAAAACCCGUGGCUCAACCAUGUGGUCUGCAGUCGAUACGGGCAGGCUAGAAUUCGGUAGGGGAGACUGGAAUUCCUGGUGUAGCGGUGAAAUGCGCAGAUAUCAGGAGGAACACCGGUGGCGAAGGCGGGUCUCUGGGCCGAUAUUGACGCUGAGGAGCGAAAGCGUGGGGAGCGAACAGG